GGGAACUACGAGCAUGAGCUUAAAACCCAAAGGACUUGGCGGUGCUUUAGACCCCCCUAGAGGAGCCUGUUCUAGAACCGAUAACCCCCGUUCUACCUCACCUUUUCUUGUUCAUUCCGCCUAUAUACCGCCGUCGUCAGCAUACCCUGUGAAGGAAAAACAGUAAGCAAAACUGGUAAAACCCUAAACGCCAGGUCGAGGUGUAGCAUACGAAAAGGAAAGAAAUGGGCUACAUUUCCUCACUCAGGAAAAACGAACUGUGCCAUGAAACAACACAUGAAGGAGGAUUUAGCAGUAAGCAGAAAGCAGAGCGUUCCGCUGAACCAGGCCCUGAAGCGCGCACACACCGCCCGUCACUCUCCCCGAGUCCAAAAAUACAAAUAAUUAAUACCCCACAAUGACAGAGGGGAGGCAAGUCGUAACAUGGUAAGCGUACCGGAAGGUGCGCUUGGAGAAAC
rnacentral:rRNA from 1 species